AUCCGGGGAUCACACGGUGGAAGGACGAGCCCUUGUAGUGGAGUGGCUUGCCGGACUUGCCGAUGCCUUUCUCGCCGGUGCAGAGGGCGCGGAAGUUCUCGGCGGUUCGGGGGGUGACGUCGGCGAAGAGUUCCAUCACGAUCCGGCCGGCCGGCUGACCGCCGACGGUCACGUCGAAGAACACUUUGGGGUUUGCCAUUUUUGAUUGGUUGAUUGGUUGAUUGGAGAGAAAAAAACAAACUAAACACGGAUUUCUGAUUUGGUGAUUUUUGGGCGAAUUUUUUAGGGUUUUGGGGCAGUUAAAUACGGGAUGGAGCGGUGGGGGAGUAACAAAAAGUGAAUCUGGACCGUUGAGGGGGAACACGUGGAGGGAUAUCGUGGGGCGGGGUGGAAGUAACUGAGGUUGAGUUAAGGUUGACUAGAGUUAUGUGAGGGAUCCCAGGCUGAGGUAAGGGUGUUCGCGGAUCGGAUUUUACGGAUUAGACAUCAAUUCAUAUCCGAUCAACAAUGUUACGGAUUAUAAUUUUUCAAUUCAAUCAAAUUCACGGAUUGAUUAAACUCAAUUCAAAUCCAAUCCAUACAUUUGCGAAUCGGAUGUAGAUUUGACUCAAUCCAUAUCCAAUCUAUACGUCUGCGGAUCAGAUGCGGAUUUAAUUUAAUUCAUAUCUAAUCUACCUUUAGCACAUUAGUUUUCGAAUUUAAAAUUUUUAGUUCUCCUCAAUCCAUGAACUAAUGAAAUUAAAAAAAAAUCUAAUAUAAAAUAAUUUUACUACCAAUUAAAUUUAAAAUUAAAUAAAAUUUAAACAAAUUAAUUGUUUAAAUAAAACUAAAAUAAUACGUUUAAAGUUUCAAAAUAUAAUACACUAAGAUUAAUUAUUCAAAUAAAGUUACAAUAAUACAUUAAUAUAACACCGAAAUUAAUUGUUCAAAUAAAGCCACAAUUAAUUGAAAUGGCGAAAUUUUUUAAACCAAACACAGUUUGAUCCUUCACCAUGGCUAUUGCACUUGUCAAAAAGUGGUGAUUACAGAGCCGUCAAUGAUGGGAACCAGGAGAAGUACGGGUGGCGAUCUUGAAGGUUGUGAUAGUGCAAUUGUUUGGCUGGAACCAGUGAUUGGGAAGUGGCUCGAUGGACUCAGGGAAGAAGAUGGCUUGCUCUCGCUAGAAUCACGCGAUUGACGUCCUUCAAAUUGGUGUCGAUAGUGUAUCGAACCAGUAUUAGGUGUUGCUAGUGCGUGUGACGACGGGAAAGUUUAAGGUUUUUUGUUUGCAAAUUAUUGGUGACUGGGCGCAAUGCGAAUCCCACAAUGAAACUUUCAAACCCACACUUAAUUUGUAGUUUCAACUUCCUAGGAAAGUUCUAAAUAGAUUUAACACAAACAAAAUCUUGACCCAAUGCAUAAGAAAACAUGAACCAAAGGUAUAGAGAAUGAUAUUGACGCCACACUUAAGAAAUAGAUGAGAAGGUGAGUGAUAAGUCUAAAUUUGGAACGCCAUAAGAAUGCAAAUUCUUGAUAAGUUCACUAGUUCUCAAAAGAACGAAAGAAAGAAUAAUCUUUCAAAUUCAACUAACAUUAAUCUCUAAUUCCAUUACAUAGUAAGGUUGCUGAGUUUAAAUAAUCUAAAAGAAACCCAAGAUCCUAAAAAUACAAAUGGAAACAUUGGAACAACCCUCCAAGUAAGUUUGUCAAAGGAUGCUUCAAAAGUCUUCACCAACCCACCAUAAUUAAUGUUAUCUUUGACAAAUUUAAUGCUAGCCUACUAUAAUUAAUGCUAUCAUUGACAAAUUUAAUGUUAGCCCACCAUCAUUUAUGGUAGACUUACCUUACACAUUGACAAACUUUUGACAAACUUGAAACAAAAUAAAGAAAUGUAGUUGAAAAACAAAUGAGUCGUUGAAAAUCUCAAGUCUGAAUAAACUUUAAUGAAUUUGUCAUAACUCCUUUUAGAGAACUCCAAAUCUAGCUCUGUAAAAUGCAUUGGAAAGCUAACUUAAUUAUUUUUCCAAUGGUAUAUAGCUUGCACAUUACUUCUGCCUCAAUCAAUACCAGUUUUAUUCCGAAUUUGACCUUUUUGCAUUUGAUACAAAUUGUGUAUUUGGCUGCCCAAUAACUUGAAUAAUGCCUACAAUGCCUUGUCUUCUCUUCAAGCCCAAUUCAUAAUGUCUUGCAUCUUGAAUUUUAUUUUCAAUCCAUAUUUUCUCAAUUAAUCCAUUUAAAGCGAUUUGCAUCUUUUUGGCUCUAACCCUUGUAAUUGGGUCUCCAUGAAUGUGCAAAUGAUCACUUGAAACUUUAAUGGUAUUCCCUUGAUGGUUCUCAUCAUGGCGUUAUGUUACUUUACUUUUGGGUGAUUUUACAAAUUGUUGGUAACUUGCCAUUAUGUUACUUUGAUGUUGCUAGUGCGUGUGACUUUGCUUUUUAUUUUGUUUUCUAAUUUUUAUAAGUUAUAUUGUAUAUUUGAUUUUUUAAUUAUUUUUUAUUUAAUAUUAUUAUUGGGUAAUGGCUAAGAUAUGUUAUAGUGCUUAUGUAACUAUGUAAUGUUACAUUUAUAAUACUAUUUAAUUAAAUUUAUAAUAAUUUUUUAACUAAAUAUAUAUAUAGAUAUAUAUAUAUAUAUAUAUAUAUGACAAUUAUUUACAAUGCUUUAUUGGAGAGAAACUUCCAAAGCAGUCGUCUGGUAUAGAAGUACUAGGCUCUGAUACCAGAAGGAAAUAGGAUCGAAGGAUGAAUGUGUUUUAAGAAAGAAAUUAUAAACAAAGAAAUCAAUUCGCGAUUGAGUAGAUUUUAUUAAGAGUACGUGGCGUUGUGACCAUAUCGAUGCAGAACUUAAUCUGCCUUCGUGACCAGAUCUGACUUAGAACAUAUCAAUAUCACGCACGUUCUGUUUUCCAGCCGAUAUACUAUGUUUCUUUACCAGAUAUGAAUUAGGUUCUUUAAACAAGCCUAGCAACAGAUCUAGAGGCUCAUAUAUCGUACUAGAUCUGGAUCCCAGAAAAAGCACUCUGAAUGAAUGGAGGGAGAAGAGAAGAUACAACUGAGGAUAGAGAUCAGGUCUCGUUGCCUAAGAGGAACGUAGCAGUUUUAUGGCAGAGCUGAUACAGAUCAGUCUGCAAAAUAUGCAUAAAAUUUAAAUUACUGAAAUUUAAAUGCUUUAAAGUAAAUUGCGGAAAUUAAAAUGCAGAACUUUAAAUUUACAUCAAAGCUUUAAAUAAAAAUUUAAAGAACGAAUUAAACAUACAUGUUUGCUUUAUUUCUUUGAACUCAACCCUUUGUACAAUUUUACAGAUCUCUUCAAGAAGAAAGAUUGAAAGAUGGGAAGAUUACAAGACAGGAAAGGUUUCCUUGAUGUCUUGAUCCAGACUUCCCAAGAGAGAGAGAGAGAGAGAGAGAGAGGGAGAAGAAGAAGAGAAAGAAAAUUAGAUCUGAAAAAUCUGAGGAGUCUAAGUCUUCCUCUCGAUUUAAAUACAAAAAUAUUUUUUUUUAACUGUAGCGGGCCUGUAGCUUCUCUACUGUAGCGGAGCUUGCUUGAAACAGUAAUCUUUGGAACAUACAGUAUUUUCUAAUUUUAAUUCGGGUGAAGAGACAUGUGCGCUCUCACUUGUGUCCAGGGGACCACCCGAGGGUACAAACAAACGAACAAAAAUGGAAAAUACAAGGAAAAAUACUGGAAUACUCUUUUUUUUUCUUUUUUUUUUAAACAUACAUAACAAUUAUUUACAAUGCUUUAUUAGAGAGAAAAUUCCAAAGCAGUCGUCUUCAUUUUCAUCUCCAAGAGAGAUAAAGGGCUCUUCAUCUUGAUCAUCAUCCGAGGAGUCUGCAACUGAGGAUUUUGAUCUUGAAGUGAGGAGCUGCUCCAUGACUUUAAAAUAUUCUUCUUCAGAUUUGGCACUGGCCAACAGAGAUUGGGCUUUGGAUUUUUGGGUUAGAAAGGUCUCUUGGGCUUUCACGGCUUUAAUAGAUGGGGGUAAGAAGCCUUUAGAACAGAGCCAAUUGCGGAUCAGGGUGUCUGUCAAUUUAGACUGUUCGUCAAACUUUGACCACCAUUUUACUUUGAAUGUCCUUUGUAAGAUGAGCUGGGCAUCUUGGGUAUGAAAUCUGAGGUUCCACAUCCAUACCCAUGGAAGGAAGAAAUUUGUACAGAAACAGAGAAAUGGGGGAACCCUUUUCUCAGAUUCAGAAGGAAUAUAGUGGGCUUUAAAGAGGUUUAAACAAUGGGUGGCAUUUGGAGUUAGGAUCUGAGGGAUUGGGCCAAAAGAAUUCCACCAAUGUUGAAACCAGUUUGGGAGGCUUUGAACAAUUAUUUUUGAAUUGAAGAAAAAUAACCAAGAGUGAGAUUUUUUGGGGUUUUGGAUAAAAAAUGUGUUAUACCAGGCUUGUUGGUAAUCCCAAUAGGAAUAAGUCAAACAAUGUGGUAAACACAUUUGAAAAUUUGGAGGGAAGGUUUUUUGUUUGUGAAGUUGAUCACCCCACUGGUUUGGGCUCAAGACUUUUAGGAUAGUAGCCAUGGAAUAGGCUGGCUCUGAAUGGGUUUCACUAAGAAAGAAAUGUUUGAAUUUUACUGACUCAGUGGCUUCUAAAAUGCUUUGAUAGUAAGACUGGGGUUUUGUAAGAUCCCAUGGUUUGAAAAACCAACCUUUAGGGAAAAACUUUGAAAUAGAUUGAAAAGGAUCAGCAUGGUAAAAACCAUCUUCUAUAGAUAAAAUAUUUUGGAAGUGGGUUUUAUCAAACCAAUCAGAAGAUUUCUUUGAAAGUGUUGGCUGGGAAAGCACAAUUUGAGAAGAUGAACUUUCACCAGAGACAACUACAUUUUGAGAAGAGGGUUUUGAAAUCUCUUUGGAAACAAGUUUUUCUUUUUCAAUCUCUUCUUUAGGAGAAAUUUGGCUUUGGGAAAAGCUUUGUAGAGCGAGCAUAAGCUCAGUGGAUUUUGUAAUGGAACUCAUCCAUUGUUUUACUUGGUCAUCAGAGGUAAUUGCUUUGUAUUGGGCUUCUUGUUCUUCAACCAUUUCAAUCCAGGAUUUGAUGGGCAUGGCAGAAGAAAGCAAAUUUUCUUUAGAAGGGGUUGAAUGAGGUUCUUUAGAGGUUGCUUGAGACUCAGAGUCUUUAAGAACAACUUUACCUUUGUCCUUCUUUCUUGGCGGCAUUAUCUGUUUUGGAGAAAUUCUCUGGUUAGAAAAUCAGAGACAUAAUUUUUAUCUCCUUUAAUAAAUUCAAUAUUGAAAUCAAAAACACUUAAAAUGGCUUGCCAUCUUGCAAAAAUUUGUUUUGAAGCAAUAUUUUGAACAUCUUUUUCCAAAACAUGUUUUGCAGCUUUGCAAUCAAUUCUAAGCAGAAAUUUUUGAUUUAAUAAAUCACUUUGGAAUUUAGAUAUGCAUAAAACAAUAGAAAGAAUUUCUUUUUUUAUAGUAGAAUAAUUUUUCUCGCAAUCAUUCCAAUGUGCAGAAACAUAUUGUAUUAUAUGCUCUUUAUCAUUCUCUUUUUGUUUUAGUAUACCUUCAUAGCCUAAAUCAGAUGCAUCUGUUUCAACUAUUUUAGGUAAUGCAUGAUUUGCCAAGAAUAAACAAGGAAUAUUCUUUACAGAAUUUUUUAUCAAUCGGACAGCUUUGGUGUGUUCAUCUGUCCAUGCAACAUGAUUCUUUUUUAAUAUGUCAUGCAAAGGUUUAGACAUCCGGUUAAUAUUAGGACAGAAAUCAAGAACAUAAUUUAGACUUCCUAAAAAUCUUUGUAGUUGGGUUUUAUCAAGAAUUUUAUCAGGAAAUUUAUCCGCAAACAAAAGUGAUCGUUCAAUAGGGGUGAUAGUUCCUUUAGAAAUAUAGUGACCAAGGAAUCUGACUUUUGUUUGGAACAAUGAAACUUUAGAACUAGAAAGGGCUAGGCCAGCCUUCUUAGUGGCAAAAUAAAAAGUUUUUAAAUGCUUGAAAUGUUGAUCAAUUGUUUGAGAAAAAAUCAACACGUCAUCUAUAUAAACAAUGCAAAACUCAGAAUAAGGGUUAUAGAUGUCAUUCAUGAUUCUUUGAAACUCUGAUGGUGCAUUCUUUAAACCGAAUGGUUUUACAGUCUACUCAUAUUGUCCAAAAGGAACAGUAAAGGCAGUUUUAUAGCGGUCAUUAGGGUGGAUUUGGAUUUGCCAAAAACCCGAUUUCAUGUCAAAUUUUGAAAAAAUAAAAGCUGAACACAAUUUCUGGAGUAAAUCGUUUUUAUUAGGUAUAGGAUAUCUAAUCUAUUUUAAUGCUUUAUUUAAAGGUUUGUAAUUUAUUACAAGUCUUGGUGUUCCUCUUUCUAUUUCGGAGUUUUUAUUAACAUAAAAAGCGGCCCAAGACCAUGGGGAUCUGGACUUUACAAUGAGUCCUUUGGUCUCUAAAUCUUUUAUCUCAUUUUUACAGUGUUGUUCCAAUUCCAUGUUCAUUUGGAUUGGACGAGCUUUAGUGGGUAUUUAUUUUUCAUCAAAAGAAUUGUCAUAGGGCAAAUCUACCAAAUGUUGUUUUCUAUCCCAAAAAGCAAAUGGUAAAUCGGCGCAUAUUUUUUUUUCAAUGAGAUUUUUAAAAUCAGAGAUCUUUCUUUGUAUAAAGUCAUUUUGUAACUGGCUUUCAAUUCUUUGUAGACUUAAGUCCUUUUUUAAACAAAACAAGUCAUUUUGUUUAGAUUUAAGCAUGGCAUUGAUUUGAUUCUGGUAAACAGAACAAGCUUUAACAAUAUUUAGAUUUCUUGUUUUUGGUUUCUCAAUAAAAGGGAAAACAAGCUUUUUGGAUUUUGCUUUAAAACAUAUGCUAUCAUAAUUGACAAUAUAUGAGGUAAUUAAAUUUAUAAAUGAGGUUCCUAAAAUGACUGUAUGGUGUAUGUCAUUUGUAAGAAGAAAAGAAGUUCUGAAUUCAAAACCAUUGUUAUGCACUGAGGCGUCUACUUUUGACUUAAUUUUUAGUUUUGAAUUAUUGGCGGCCGAGAGUCUUUCAUUUGUCUUUUCAUGGAAUUUUUUAGGGACAAUAUCUUCUUUAAUGCAAUUCAAAUCGGCACCAGUGUCAAAGAGAGCAAUGGUGUCAAUUUCAAAAUCUUUAGAAAAAAUUAAAGUGAUUUUCAUCAAAUACUUUCUGGUGGUGAUUUGUUUUAAAACAAACAGGAAAUCAUUAGGUGCAGAUUCAAUGUUUUCAAGGUUUUGUUCAUUGUCACCAUCAGUUUCGGCUUCUUUAUCAGAAUUAUCUUCUAAUUGUUUUUGUAUGAGAAGUUGGAUAGUAUCAGAAUCAUUCUUUUGUUUUUCUUUUAAUUCUUUAAUCUCAAGUUUGAUUUCUUUGAUCUUUUUCUGAAGAUCUUGGAUAUUGGGGACAGUUUUGUUUGUUUUCUUUUUGUCCAAAAUCUCAGUAAGGUCAUAAGAGUUCUUUUUAACAAUUGGAACUUUAGAAGUUUCUGCUUUAUUAGAAUCUAAGGUCUUUAAAAGUUUAUCAAGGUAUUCUUUCUAAAUAUUCGGAUCAGUAAUAUGUUUAACAAGUUCAAGAAAAAUUUCUUGGUCUUUAGUCAAAACAUUGAUUUUCUUUAAAUAGGAAUCUGAAUUGCUGGUGUCGGAGUCACUCAAAGAAACAGAUUCAGAGUCAUUUAACUCAUCAACCUGUAGAGGUUCACUAUCUCCCGUCAUGGAAGACUCAGAGUCAGAAGACUCUAUAAGCAAAGAGGCAACUUUGGAGAGGGUUUCAUCAUCAAGAUCAAGCUCAUGGAGCUUUCUGUUCAUUCUGCAAAACUUUGCAGUAUGGCCUUUCUUUCCACAUUUGUAACAUGUGGCUUCUUUAUAAUUAAACGAGAUUUUUGGUUUGGCUCUAAACUCUUUCUUUUUAGAGAAGUUGGGUUUCUUAUAAGGCUUCAAAGGUUUCUUAUAAGGAAGUUCUCUAAAGUCUUGAAAGGGUUUCUUAUGAAAUCUAGAUUUGUAAUGUUUCUUGUAAGGUUUUGUAGAACACUUACCAUUACAAUCUUUGGAAGUAGAAGUCUUAAAGGGGUUAUAAUUGAAUUGUUUACAGAAACUGCCUAAUUCUUGCUUAGACUUCUUAAGCUCCCAUUUUAGACGUUUCUGUAUCUUCAAAUCUUGACAAAUCUUUAAGCCUUCCUUAUUGACAAAACUAACAAGUUCACCAUAGGUGAGCUCAUCAUAAGGAAUUCGGUUAUCAUAAAGAGCUUUAAUGGAAUUCCUAACCUUUUCUCCUAGUAGGGUAGGUAAACCUGCAAGGAAUUUCUCUUUCCAAGUUAUAAGAUUUGCAUCAUCCCUAAGGAAGAGUCUGGUGAAGAAAGUGGUUUUAUAGCUUUGGAAUUCACUAAGUUUUCUACACCUCAGGUUGUGUAGUAACUCGGCGUUUUUGUCUCUAAGGUGAGAAGGGUCACCUAUGAAAUGGAGGGAUAUAGUUAGAAUCAGGGUAGCUACAUCAUCCUGAAUUGGACUAUUGAACUCAUAAAGAAUAGGGGCAUUAUUCUCAUCAACUUGAAUGGAGUUUAGGAUAUCUAAUUGUUGCUGUUUGGUGAGGAGAUGAUCCCACCAUCCUUUAAGUUGACCAGUAAAACCAGCAACGAGAAUUUCUGCAAUGGCUCUAUCCGAAGUUCCCGUCUAUGUUUUAUAGGCAUUGGCUGCCAUGGUCAUUUGUCGCAACAAUCCUAGGAUGUUGUAUUCAGACAUACCAUCAAUAUUCCACUCAUAGACAGAAGAUGCAUUAAAUCGUGAUUGAUUUAAAGCACUUGGUCUAUUAUCUAUAGCUAGAUCUGGUGGAGUCUUGACAGUAGGUAGGGCUAAAUCCCAAUGGAUUUUGUUAGCAUGAGGAACAAAAGGUUCUUCUUUAAAUGCUUCUAUGUCUGAAGAGAUUGUAGAAACAUCAUCAUGCUCUAGUACACCAAUCUUGCUGGAUUGGGCACUAUCAGGGGCUAUUUGGACCUUAGAAGAAAAAGAAGAAGAUGAAGCUUCUAUUCAAUCUAAUUGGUCUCUAAUGGCUUUAGCAAAAUCUGAUUUUGACUCUUGAACAAGCUUUUGGCUAGUUUUCGAAACCUGGAAAGGUUUGAAAAUAGGUUCCUUAAGCUUUUUGUCAGAAUCCGAUUUUGAUGAAACAGGAGAAACUUUUAUGGUUGGCUUUUGGAACUGGCUUUCUAUCCUAGUCAAUUGUUUUCCUAUAGUAUUUAAGUUAGUAUUACAAAAAUUAUUCUGUUGAAUAAUACUACUUAAAUUCGCAUCAGAAUCAUUUGGUUUUGGGAUUUUGUAAGGUGAGGCUCUAAUCUCAAUAGGAGGUUCACCAUGGUUAAUAGUUAAACUCCUAAGAGGUGGAUGUUCAGAUUCUAUGGUUCUAUUGCUAUCAGAAAGAUUCCACUCAGGGGUUUUCUUCCUAACAGUAAUAGGGUUUGACUCUUUAAAAGGAUAAGAGAUGUUGUUAUUGGAAGAAUAUAUCUCAAACCAAUCAAAAAACAAUAUAUGAAUUUUUUGAGAAUUUACAAAUGCAUAAUAUGUCUCUUGAAUUUCUUUUCUUUUAUUUAGAAAAUGUUUAAAAAACCAGAGUCUUUUUUCUUUAUUAUUAUCUGAAUAAAAGUCAUUGUGAAGAAGAGUUUUAUUCAGCUCAAAGUCUUUCGUUAUGACAUUUAUUACAUUUUCUGUGACAGCAGAAAACGUAGGAGAAGUUGGAGGAGAAGGGUCCUUCUCUUCCUGUCUUUGCUCAUGUUGUUUCGGAAUCACUGGUGCAGUGGCACCUUCAAAAAUCCAUUCAUCUGGAAGAUUGAUAUCUUUCCAUUGUAUUGAUUUUGGAAUGACAGUAUUUGCUUUGGACAGAUCAGUUUGUAAAAGGAGAGUCUCGUCUCUUUUUGACUGGAAUUUAUGUUGCGUGCUAAACGCAGAAAUCAUGGCUUUAUAAGAAAUUUUAAAGAUUAAAGCAACUGGGACAGAUCCUUUUAUCAUGUGAUAAUUAUGGGUCUUGAUUUGUAAAAUCAUACUUUUUAAAAUGUUCUUGUCUUUUAAAGAAAUUGUUAUGUUGGGAUAACAAUUGAAUGAAAUGGGACCUUUACAAAGACUUGAUUCUAUACUACUUAGUAAAGAAUCAUCAAAGGAGAUGAAACGACCAUCUCUCAGGACAACCAGAAUAGACGUAUCAAGACAUUCUUUCGUUAGAGGUUUUAUGCCGACUUGUAUUAGUCCGAUGUGAAUAUAAUUAAAAUUUUUAUCUUUUAAUUUCUUUAAAGACUGUUAUGAAAACAAAUGAAUUGUUUCAAAAGGUUCUGAAAGGGUUAUGUCACGUUCUUCGGUCUUUAUAACAUAAUCAUUUUUUAAAAAAUCAAGAUUUUUUGUUUUGUAAAUCAUUUCUUUAUUCACCUUUGGUAAUUCACAAUUAUCAAUUGCUUUAUUGAAGUCUUCGAUAACAAAUUCUUCAGAAUUCACAACAUUCUUUGAAUCGCUAGUUCUUCCAGAAGAAGAGCUAGAAAAGGACGAUGCUCUACAAAGUAGAGAAUCCAUGAAUCAAAACCUAUGGUCUACUCAAAGACCUGUUGGUAUGGUUACAGGUUUGGUUUUACUGCCCUAAGCGGAAAAUCUUAUCCUAAAGCGGGACUGACUACCAGUAAGGAAUUCACCACACAAACAAGAAUUAAAAUAAAACACAAGUCUUUAGACACAGAGACUCUAAACUAUACAACACUUUCCUCCCCUUGGCUCUGAUACCAGAAGGAAAUAGGAUAAUGGAUGUGUUUCAUAUAUAUAUUGCGGAUUCACGAAUUUUUACAGAUUUGUACCAGUAAAUCCAUAUCCAAUCCAUCGACUGCGGAUUUUUAAAAUUUUAAUCCAUAUCCAAUCCACGGAUCCACGGAUCGAAUUUAUACGGAUCAGACAUAUUGAAUUGAUCGGAUUAGAUUAUGAACACCCUUAAGCUGAGGCUAGGUGUUUUUAGUUUUGGAUAUGUCGUUUUGUCAGUGGGAACGGCGCCAUUUGUUUGGGUUUAAAAUUGAGCAUAUUUAUGAUACUUAGAGGAAUCGUACAAAAAUCUGUUAACAUAUAUGUUUCCAUAAUAUUGAUUUUGAUGAUAACAAACAAGUUUAAGAAUGAUUAAUCUUUUAAGCUCAAAUUAUUUAAUAUUCUUUUUAAAUAAAUCAUUAUUUUCACAUUAUAAAUGUUUUAUAUUUAAUGGAAAAAUGAUUUUAUGAAAUUGAUUGUUUUUAUUCUUUUUAAAUAAAUCAUUAUUUUCACAUUAUAAAUGUUUCAUAUUUAAUGGAAAAAUGAUUUUAUGAAAUUGGUUAUUUUUCAAAGUUUAUGGUUUAAUUGAAAGAAUUUUGAAAACUUUGAAAUAAACAAGUAUUGCUUGAAAUUUUGGAGAAGGACUUAUUUGAAAAGUGUCAUAGUAUUUUGGGCUAUACCAUAAUUUCAGAAAGUUUUGGGAUUAACAAAGCAUUACUUAGAAAUUCUGAAAUUGGACCUAUGUGCAAUGUUUCAUAACAUUUUGGGUCAUACUAUAGUUUUGUAAAGUUUUGGGGUCAAACUGUAAUUUCAGAAAAUUCUUUCAGUGUAGCAAUCACUGUAGCAAACGGCUAACCGUUUAUUUAAAAAUGGCUAACCGUUUAUUUAAAAACGGCUAACCGAUAAUUUCCAGAAAGCAUGUUCUGCAAAGUAUUGUUAAAAUGAUGAUUCUGGAAACUAACGGUGAACCGUUUACUGAAAACGGUUAACCGAUUAUUUUCAAAUUGCUAACCUUGAACCGUUUAGUAAGAACGGUUAAACCAAAUUUAUUUUGCAGGUCUCUGGAAGUUAACGGCGAAAGGGUAAGCCUAAACGACUAACCGUUUAUUUGAAAAUUGGCCCAACGGUAACUUUGACCGGCCUAAACGGUUAACCGUUAAUAGUUAACGAUGAACCGUUUUCGAGCAGACAGUCUAUAACGGCUAGUUUUUCAGCUCCAACUAUAAAUAAGUUCAAUCCAAUUCAAACAAGUAGAAUUCCAACGAUCAUCAUUGAGCAAAAUAUUGAGAAUACAACUUUCAUUGAGCUUUAAAUCUUUGUAUUCAUCUCAUUCAUUCACACAUUGAGCUUUCACUUGUGAUCAAAUACAUUGUAUGAGAGGGAUUCAUUUGUAAUCUUUUUUGUAAAAUCAAGUUAAAAGAUUGUAAGUGUUGGGAUACACUUGGGUUAAGAGAUUGGGGAUAAUCUCUUGUUGUAAAGGUCCAUUGACACCUUGGAAGUCAAUUGUAAGCGUUUGAAGCCUUGGGAGGCUAGCUUAGUGAAAUCCUCAAGCCCGGUGAGCUUGGAGGCGUGGACGUAGGCGGGGAUUGCCGAACCACGUAAAAAUCAUUGUGUUCGUUUUCUCUUCCCUUACUCUUUUAAUAUUGUGUAUGAUUGAAUUUAUUGUUUUCAAUUUGAUUAAGGCAAUAGAUUAAAUUGUUGUGUGGUUUGCUUAGCUUAAAUUUUAAAAUCCCAAUUCACCCCCCUCUUGGGUUGCCUAGUUAGUAUUUCAAAAUCGUCAUACGUAGUUACGUACUAAACUCAAACUGACUGGUCUGAGUAUUUAUUUAAUUUUAAUCAAUUAAAUACACCUGACUGAGUGAGUUUAAAUCUCAUCGGAUGGUGUACAAAUACGAUCUGUCGAAUUCAUAGGAAUUAUUUUAAUCUCCGCCACAAAAAUAAAAAGAAUUACAUUUUUAUUAUUUCUAAAAAAACUUUCAAAUAAUAAUAACGUCCGCAUUAUUGAAUUCCACAAAUCCUGCAAUAUAAGAUGCCCAUUUGAUGUCUAUAUAAUCCUCCAAUUCAAGCUGCCCAUUUGAUGAUUAUAUUUUUUUUUUAUUUUUCUCAUUUUUGUCUUCUUGUUUCCUUAACAAAUAAUAAUAUAUAAAUACUUCAAAAAUACUUCAAAAAUAAACAAGAAUAUAAUGUUAGUCAACAUGGCAGCUUUCACUUUUAGAAAGAAAAAGAAGGAAAACGAAAUUAAAAAGAUUCUGUACUGGACAAACUAUAAUUCCCCAUUCAGAGGUAGUUAAAUUUCAUCCAUACAUUUCAUUAAUAAUAAAUAAAUGAUACAAGAUAAUUUAAAAAUUUAGAAGAAUUUAAGCUAAGAAACCCAAAAUAAAGUUGCUUGGAAUUUAUAACAUCACUUUCCAAAUAAAAAUAAUUGUACAAAUGCACUUAUAUACUUCAAGUUGACAGCUUAUGCAGCAGAAAGGAAUUGAUUAUAUCAUUAUCCUUGCUGAAAAUACGUAGGUAAAGAGAUAGAGAGGUUUUUUUUUUUUUUUUUUGAAUGAGAACUAUUGCUCAUGAUAUUUACAAUCAUAUAAAUAUUGAGACCCGUUUACAUCAAUUUUGAUAUGACACCGCUCAGAUUUUAAACCUUCUCAAAUAUUCGAGGAACAUCAACUCCCAUCCUGAGAGAAAGACUGUCUUCACUCAAGCUCUAGGACUCCAAAAAAAAAAAUUAAAUUAAACUCCUACAAUACGUUUACGGAGGCUCGAACUGCUUCCCUCACAUUUAUGAAUGAGUAGCUCUAGCCACUUGGGCUUAGCCCUAAGCCCAAGUGGUUAGAUAGAGAGGUAUUAGAUGCAAAGCAAAAGUGAUUUUCUUUCUUUCUUUAUCCGUGUUUUGAUGAAAAAAGUGAUUUGAGUGAGUAAUCAUCAUUGUACUAAACAAAUAAUUGAAAGAGUGGCAUACUAAUAAUCUUCACAAGCGCCAUUCAUUGGCUUCUUACUCUUUUUUUUUUUAAGAGAGAAUAUAGUAACAAAUUUAAUAUCACUAUCUUUUUCGUUCUAAACAGGGGUGGCUUUAGGUAUAGGCGAGUAAGACAGUCGCCUAAGGCCUCAUAUUUUAAGAAGGUCUCAUUUUUUUUAAUAUUUUCUUAAUAAUUCUCUAAUUAAUAAAUUUUUUUAAUACAUAUUUUAAGAAUUAAGAGUUAUUUUUGAUUAAAAAAAAUCUAUUUUUGGAAACCUUAAUUUUAAAGAAAUAUAAUUAAUAAUAUUCUUUAACCAUUAGUUGAUUCAUUAUUAUUAUUUCCAAAAAAUUAUUUACCUUUUUAAUUAUUCAAUGUUAGAAUCUUUGAUUUUUAGUAUUUCUUUUAAUUUCUAUUAAAAACCUUAUAAUCUCAAGAAUUAGUAAAUGAAAAAAAUUUCUUAUUCUUUUCUAUACAAAGAAAAUCAUUAUAUUUAUUGGUUCAUGUAAAAUAAUUAGUUUCUUAAAAUAUAAAGUCCAUUUUUGUUUUUGAACAUCAAUUCAUCAUUUCAAAAUUUUGUACUCUAUCAUUUUAAAUAUUCUAUUUGAAAAAAAUAUUGUUUUUAUUUAUUUGUCUGUUUGUUUUUAACGGUUUUAAUGGAAUAAAAAAAAUACCUUCUUGACUAUUUUUUAGGUUUUAUUUUUAAAAUUUUUGAUCUUUUUUUAUUAUUAUUGAAAUUCAAAAAUUAAAGAUGAAAUAAAUUUUAAUUCUUUUUAUUGUCUUUGAGUAUUGAAAUUACAAAAUAAAUAGAGGACUCAUAAGAAAAUUUUGCCUAAAGCCCCUCAGACUCUAAAAAGGAUAGCAAAAUGCUCCAUGAAAUCCUACCUCAAAUGAGAUAAAUUUUAAUGAUUUUUCUAAAAGUAAGAAAAAAAUAAUUUAUAAAUAAUUUAUAGAUUGAAAUUUGGCUUUAUACAUCUUACCCUAUCUCUACCGUCUAAAUAUUUUAUAUUUUUAUAUAGUUUAAGAUAUUAUUUCAAUUGGAUUAUUUUUUAUUUUUAAUAAUUUAAAUAUUUUACAAUAUGUUGGUGGUGGUUUUAUUUGAGUCAUUUUAAUUUUCUUUUCACCAAAAUUAUAUAUAAAAAUCAACAAUAAAAUAAGCAAAUGAGAAGACGGUGGGAUGGAUAACUUAUCUUACACAAAGAUUUUCUAUUCCCAUUAGAGAAUGAAAUUUAUUCUAAUGGGGGUGGGUAAUCGAGAUGGUCUCCCCAAUUACUCCGCCACGUUGUCAUCCUUAUACUAAAUCAACCGUAUUCUACCAAGCAAUACGACCAUCGUGAAGAAACAAUGUAUUAUAUAUUGUUUAUAAUUUAUAGAAUGCGUAAGGAAGCAGAAAAUUAUCUUUGAAAAUGAGAGGGAAAUGGAGUUUACAGGAAAUUUCCUGCUAUCAUCAAAUUCGGCUACAUGAUAGCAAGUGUCAUUGGUAAGGAAGCUUACAACUUCAAAUUUAUAUACGCGGGCGAUAUAUAUAUAGCAUAAUUGGCAAAAAUGAGACACCAAAUUUCAUUAUUGACAAAACACACAGCAGAAGUGAUUGGUCUUCUAAUUUGAUCUGUUUACCCGGUAUUUAUGGUGCUAAAAAGCAACAACCAUGCACGCUUUUUCUUCUUUUAUUUUUGGGCUUUUUUUUUGUGAGGGUUUUUUUUUUGGGGGGGCCUGAUUCAAUUUCGUUAGUUUAAAAAUUAAAAUUGAUCUGUUGUAACUUUUAAAAUUGGCCAAAACACAGCUACGUCAUGUCGAUCCGUGUUAAGUUGUGAUUAUAACUAUAUGUGUAGUGCGAGAAUUUCUUGAUGACUGGACGACGCGGCAACAAAAGUAGGCCAAGAUUCCUCUCAUCGGAUCACAGAGUGGGAGAAAGAAUAGAUAUGACGAAUGGCAGCAAUUCUCCAAUUCCAAAUUCAUAUUCGUCUCAGUGAAAGAUUAGGCUUAUGGGGAGACGACACGAGUUUGAAACUGGUAAAAUUGGGCCUAUUAAGGCCCAGAUCAAAGUCCGACCCCCGUGCCCUCUCCAACAAAAUCACUAUCUCACAAAAAUCUCAGUCCAAGAGAAGGACAUUCCGAAGGAUAUUCCACGCUAAUUUUUCAAAUUUCCUUUUUUUUUUCCCUUUUUUUUUUUCUUUCUCCACCUACUAUACAGUUCCACAUCUCACAAAAAUCUCCAACUACUAGGCCCCAUGCAGCCGUGCUGGGUCUCCAUCAAAACGACAAAUACUAUAUAUUUUCCAAUUUUUAUAAUGCAUGUUUAAAAAAUAUAUUUCCCCUUUUGUCAUCUUCCCUCCUUAUCUAAAAUUAUCCUUUCAUCUCCGUUUACUUGCUCUACCCCACGCGCCGACCAAGUCACCCCAAUUCUUUAUUUCGUAAUGUCAGGUAUUUUGCAGAUCCAUAUCGAUAAUUAUCCAACCUCUACUCCAUUUAUCGGCAAUUCCGCCAUCGGAUUCCCGCCGAUUCAAGGAAAAAUAAAGGCACAUCAAAUUAAAAAAACAUAAAAAAGGAUACGUAAUAUAACAAGACAAGCCCUAUCUUAUUUAAAAAAGGCAGCUCAUAGAAAGACAUAAAAAACAGUUCAUCAAGAACCACCACCGGAGACCCGAUCCGACCCGAACAAGUAACAUAGCAGGAAAAUUAGAUAAAGAUUAAAAGUCCUACAGACACGCCCACAUAAUAAUAGAUAACAUAAUCAUCAUCACGAUCGCGAUCAGACGGCCCGUGAUGAUGGCGAUCAUUAUCAUGAUCAAAUCUAAGACAAUUGACCGCAAUCAGCGAUCACGACGGGCUUGUUGGUCCUUCCGGAGCUGGACCCCACUUUCUCGAUGGCCUUGACGACGUCCAUGCCUUCGACGACUUGACCGAACACAACGUGCUUCCCAUCGAGCCACUCGGUCUUGGCCGUACAGACGAAGAACUGAGAUCCGUUGGUUCCGGGUCCGGCAUUCGCCAUGGAUAGGAUUCCGGGGCCGGUGUGCUUCUUCACGAAGUUCUCAUCGGCGAAUUUCGAGCCGUAGAUUGAUUCGCCUCCGGUUCCGUUUCCGGCGGUGAAGUCUCCCCCCUGGCACAUGAAUCCGGGGAUCACACGGUGGAAGGACGAGCCCUUGUAGUGGAGUGGCUUGCCGGACUUGCCGACGCCUUUCUCGCCGGUGCAGAGGGCUCGGAAGUUCUCGGCGGUUCGGGGGGUGACAUCGGCGAAGAGUUCCAUCACGAUCCGGCCGGCCGGCUGACCGCCGACGGUCAUGUCGAAGAACACUUUGGGGUUUGGCAUUUUUGAUUGGUUGAUUGGAGAGAAAAAAACAAACUAAACACGAACUUCUGAUUUGGUGAUUUGUUGGCGAAUUUGUUAGGGUUUUGGGGCAAUUAAAUAGGGGAUGAAGCGGUGGGGGAGUAACAAAAAGUGAAUCUGGACCGUUGAGGUGGGACACGUGGAGGUAUCGUGGGGCGGGGUGGAAGUAACUGUGGUUGAGUUAAGGUUUACUAGAGUUAUGUGAGGGAUCCAAGGCUGGGUGUUUUAAGUUUUGGAUAUGUCGUUUU
rnacentral:lncRNA from 1 species